AGAUAUACAGAAAUAGAGACAGUCGGUUCCCUCUCUCUCUCUCUUCAUCUCUUUAAUCUCUCUCGGUCAAUCUACAGGAUUCGAUGUGUUAACAUUGUAUCAGAGCGGCGAUUCCGAUUCUGCUCAUCACCGGCUUUCUCGUGAUGAUACCCUCAUCAAUUUUCAUCCGAGUUUCUCUGUUAUCUUAAAAUCUAGGAUUUUCUCAUUUUGCUGGGUUUUCCUCUGUAAUCGUUGAUUUUUGAGGUUUCUACUUCGUCGCUUUCAUCGGUUCGACAUAGGAAUAAGUCGAUUCCUAAGGAUUUGUCUAUCCACGAAUAGUUAGGGUUUGGCUUUGUGAAGUUUCAGGCUUGGUAACGCUUCUCAGUCGCAAAAAUGGUUAAUGUUGG
rnacentral:lncRNA from 1 species